UCUUGCUUUCCAGAUCUGUUCUUCCCCAUCCUCAAUUUAGCAAAUCAAACCCUAGCUCAGUCGAUCGCCAUGGCAUCUUCUUCUUUUGCAAGUGUUCCUCCAUGUAAAUACGAUGUGGAUCCGUCAGAAGUACGAACUCGAUCGGAUAGGUUUGUUGUCAAACAUGGAUCCAAGUAUAACGAUGAUGUUGAUGAAGUAACACAUAAGGUGAAACGAUGGAGGAUUGAUCUUACUCUUAAAGGUUGUGAUACACUCAAUCGGGUUGAAUCAGGGAGCAUUAAGUGGAUUCUUCGCCAAAUUUCUUUAUUAUAAUAUACAAUUGAAAUGCAUGAUUUGAUACAAGAUAUGGGUAAAUAUGUUGUUGCUAUGAAAAUGAUCUUGGAGAAAGGAGAACAUAGGAGACCAUGGCGCAUUGAAGAUUCGGAAGAGUGAUGAUCAACAAUACAAGAUGGUUGUAAAAAUUCCAGGGAGCGUUUAAUAUACUUGUGUAAUAAUUACUUUCCACCAAAGUAAAUGUACACUAGAAAGUUGUUUUUUUCUGCCCUGACAAAGAGCACUUGUUAUUUUGAUCAAAUAGCACAUGUACAAUCCAUUACAGCACCCCGCCUAUUCAUCAACCAUCGCUCUGCACUUAGGCAUUGUUUGAUAGUGUAUUGGGAAAAAUAAUACAUGAAUUAGAUUUGUGUAUUGGUAAUAUCAUGUUUGGUAUAUUUUUUCAGUUUAUGCAUAAUUAAUAUUAGCAUUAGUUUUACAUUUUAUUGUGUAUUGAAGUGUGUAUUACUAAUA